rnacentral:misc_RNA from 1 species
AGCAUAAUAAUGUCCACCAUGCACACCGCCGCUAUGAACCAACACACUAUGAAGUGUAUAGAGAUUCCGUACACUCCUAUCUGCAUCAGGAGACAAAUAUUUUCCGUUCUCCCUAUCAAGGUCAAGCUCUAGAGGAAAUUCAUAACGGUCAUUUAUCUUUACCAUAGUAUCACGCAUGAAAUCAUAUUCGAACCUCUUUAACUGAAGCUGAAGAACUGGAGGGAAGUCAAUAAAUAGUACACCCUUUUUUGCAUCCUGCAAACCAUGUGCUUCAGCAUGGUACUUAUUAUCGCCUUCUAGACGUUCGACUUCAACAUAUUUGUCAAAAG